GACGAACGCUGGCGGCGUGCCUAAUACAUGCAAGUUGAGCGCUGAAGGUUGGUACUUGUGCCCACUGGAUGAGCAGCGAACGGGUGAGUAACGCGUGGGGAAUCUGCCUUUGAGCGGGGGACAACAUUUGGAAACGAAUGCUAAUACCGCAUAAAAACUUUAAACACAAGUUUUAAGUUUGAAAGAUGCAAUUGCAUCACUCAAAGAUGAUCCCGCGUUGUAUUAGCUAGUUGGUGAGGUAAAGGCUCACCAAGGCGAUGAUACAUAGCCGACCUGAGAGGGUGAUCGGCCACAUUGGGACUGAGACACGGCCCAAACUCCUACGGGAGGCAGCAGUAGGGAAUCUUCGGCAAUGGACGAAAGUCUGACCGAGCAACGCCGCGUGAGUGAAGAAGGUUUUCGGAUCGUAAAACUCUGUUGGUAGAGAAGAACGUUGGUGAGAGUGGAAAGCUCAUCAAGUGACGGUAACUACCCAGAAAGGGACGGCUAACUACGUG
rnacentral:rRNA from 1 species